rnacentral:rRNA from 1 species
AUUGAACGCUGGCGGUAGGCCUAACACAUGCAAGUCGAACGAGUGGCGGACGGGUGAGUAAUGUCUGGGAAACUGCCUGAUGGAGGGGGAUAACUACUGGAAACGGUAGCUAAUACCGCAUACCAUCGGAUGUGCCCAGAUGGGAUUAGCUAGUAGGUGGGGUAAAGGCUCACCUAGGCGACGAUCCCUAGCUGGUCUGCGAGGAUGACCACCUACCCGGUAACGGAGACACGGUCCAGCCUCCUACGCGAGGCAGCGGUGGAGCAUAUUGCACAAUGGGAGAAAGCCUGAUGCAGCCAUGCCGCGUGUAUGCAGGAGGCCUUCGGGUUGUAAAGUACUUUCAGCGGGGAGGCGUUACCCGCAGAAGAAGCGCCGGCUAACUCCGUGCCAGCAGCCGCGGUAAUUC